CAGAUUACAAUCUUAUGUGGCAACAUGUCAUCCUUCUUGGCUUAAUGGUCUCUUUAUGGAUGAAAUAUCUCAUGCCUUUAAUUGAACCAAAGUUUUUUUUGGUAUACGCCUUUCCUUUGUUUGGAAAUGGUUUAGUGCAGUGGUGGUUGGUAGUAUGUUUUAUCUUUUAGUCCUUUGACUGGGUAUGUUUGAGUCUCUAUACUCUUGUUAUCUUGCGUUUAUAUACAUACAACUAUAGUUGACCUAAAAAAGAAAAAAGAAAAAGGUGAGUGAGAUGAGAGAGAAAGAAGAAUAAAAAAGAUUUUUUCUAUUUCAGCUUUGGGAAGAUUUUUGGGUUUCAAGGCUUC
rnacentral:lncRNA from 1 species